rnacentral:rRNA from 1 species
UACGUAGGGGGCAAGCGUUGUCCGGAAUCAUUGGGCGUAAAGCGCGUGUAGGCGGCUUGGUAAGUCCGCUCUGAAAGCCCGGGGCUCAACCCCGGGAGGCGGGUGGAUACUGUCAAGCUCGAGUCCGGAAGAGGCGAGUGGAAUUCCUGGUGUAGCGGUGAAAUGCGUAGAUAUCGGGAGGAACACCUGUGGCGAAAGCGGCGCACUGGACCACAACUGACGCUGAGGCGCGAAAGCUAGGGGAGCAAACAGG